AUACUUACCUGGCAGAGGAGAUACCAUGAUCACAAAGGUUGUUUUCCCAGGGCGAGCCUUAUCCAUUGUAUUCCGGAUGUGCUGACCUCUGCAUUUCCCCAAAUGUGGGAAACUCGGCUGCAUAAUUUGUCGUAGUUAAGGACUGCAUUCAUGCUCUCCCCUA